AAAUCGCUACAAGGGGCAGUCUACUUCGACCAGAUGAGGCUAAAACCCUAAACCCUUGCAACCUCCUCCCAAACAUUUUCACUUCGUCGCCUUCUUCUUCUUCUUCGAUCCUUCAAUGGCUUCGGCUUGCAAUAGAUUCGCCGGCAGAGCAUCCCUAUCAUCCGUCAAAUCCGCCAUUAGAUCUAGCCUCCGCACAUCUCCUCUCACCAAAUCCACCGCGCCCACCUCUCCGCGCGUCCAUCUCCCCUCUAGAUCCACUUCCAUUCCUCUUUCCCGGUUCUCACUCUUCAGGUGUCCCUCGGAAUUGGGAAGCGUGCAGUCAUUAUUGCCGUUGCACAGCGCGGUGGCAGUCGCGAGAAUGACGUCGUGCCUGAGCACAACAUCGAGGAGUUGCCGAGCGGUCUUGCAGGGUACACUCUGCUGCACCUCCCCAGGCCUCUAAUCUCAUGCACCUAAGAUGAGUUGGUUGAAAGAAAUAAAAUGGGAAUUUGCUGGACCUGGCACUUAUCAAAUGGAGUUGAUGGCACGUGAGACAUUUGUGCUGCAUUUGGAGAGUUUGGGCUGUCCGUUCCAAGGUGACCUUAUUGCAGCCCAACAUGAAGAGGAGUUAUCUUUACAAUAAUGGAAAAUCUCUUGCAUCAACAUUUUUUUGUAGUUUCAGUCAAUUUAAAGGAGCUGCUUGAACAUUGCAAGCAAGGAAACUGGUUUUGGUUCUUCCCUUGACUGAGAUAUAUGUUUGAGUAACCAUUCAUUUAUGUUUAAUCGUCAGGCCUGUAUUCUGAGAUC